rnacentral:rRNA from 1 species
UACGGAGGAGGCAAGCGUUAUCCGGAAUUAUUGGGCGUAAAGCGUCCGCAGGUGGCACCUCAAGUCUGCUGUCAAAGACCGGGGCUUAACCCCAGAAAGGCAGUGGAAACUGAAGCGCUAGAGUGCAGUAGGGGUAGAGGGAAUUCCUGGUGUAGCGGUGAAAUGCGUAGAGAUCAGGAAGAACAUCGGUGGCGAAGGCGCUCUGCUGGAUCAUAACUGACACUCAGGGACGAAAGCUAGGGGAGCGAAUGGG